CGAAUGCUGACAUAAGUAACGAUAAAGCGGGUGAAAAGCCCGCUCGCCGGAAGACCAAGGGUUCCUGUCCAACGUUAAUCGGGGCAGGGUGAGUCGACCCCUAAGGCGAGGCCGAAAGGCGUAGUCGAUGGGAAACAGGUUAAUAUUCCUGUACUUGGUGUUACUGCGAAGGGGGGACGGAGAAGGCUAUGUUGGCCGGGCGACGGUUGUCCCGGUUUAAGCGUGUAGGCUGGUUUUCCAGGCAAAUCCGGAAAAUCAAGGCUGAGGCGUGAUGACGAGGCACUACGGUGCUGAAGCAACAAAUGCCCUGCUUCCAGGAAAAGCCUCUAAGCAUCAGGUAACAUCAAAUCGUACCCCAAACCGACACAGGUGGUCAGGUAGAGAAUACCAAGGCGCUUGAGAGAACUCGGGUGAAGGAACUAGGCAAAAUGGUGCCGUAACUUCGGGAGAAGGCACGCUGAUACGUAGGUGAAGUCCCUCGCGGAUGGAGCUGAAAUCAGUCGAAGAUACCAGCUGGCUGCAACUGUUUAUUAAAAACACAGCACUGUGCAAACACGAAAGUGGACGUAUACGGUGUGACGCCUGCCCGGUGCCGGAAGGUUAAUUGAUGGGGUCAGCGCAAGCGAAGCUCUUGAUCGAAGCCCCGGUAAACGGCGGCCGUAACUAUAACGGUCCUAAGGUAGCGAAAUUCCUUGUCGGGUAAGUUCCGACCUGCACGAAUGGCGUAAUGAUGGCCAGGCUGUCUCCACCCGAGACUCAGUGAAAUUGAACUCGCUGUGAAGAUGCAGUGUACCCGCGGCAAGACGGAAAGACCCCGUGAACCUUUACUAUAGCUUGACACUGAACAUUGAGCCUUGAUGUGUAGGAUAGGUGGGAGGCUUUGAAGUGUGGACGCCAGUCUGCAUGGAGCCGACCUUGAAAUACCACCCUUUAAUGUUUGAUGUUCUAACGUUGACCCGUAAUCCGGGUUGCGGACAGUGUCUGGUGGGUAGUUUGACUGGGGCGGUCUCCUCCUAAAGAGUAACGGAGGAGCACGAAGGUUGGCUAAUCCUGGUCGGACAUCAGGAGGUUAGUGCAAUGGCAUAAGCCAGCUUGACUGCGAGCGUGACGGCGCGAGCAGGUGCGAAAGCAGGUCAUAGUGAUCCGGUGGUUCUGAAUGGAAGGGCCAUCGCUCAACGGAUAAAAGGUACUCCGGGGAUAACAGGCUGAUACCGCCCAAGAGUUCAUAUCGACGGCGGUGUUUGGCACCUCGAUGUCGGCUCAUCACAUCCUGGGGCUGAAGUAGGUCCCAAGGGUAUGGCUGUUCGCCAUUUAAAGUGGUACGCGAGCUGGGUUUAGAACGUCGUGAGACAGUUCGGUCCCUAUCUGCCGUGGGCGCUGGAGAACUGAGGGGGGCUGCUCCUAGUACGAGAGGACCGGAGUGGACGCAUCACUGGUGUUCGGGUUGUCAUGCCAAUGGCACUGCCCGGUAGCUAAAUGCGGAAGAGAUAAGUGCUGAAAGCAUCUAAGCACGAAACUUGCCCCGAGAUGAGUUCUCCCUGACUCCUUGAGAGUCCUGAAGGAACGUUGAAG
rnacentral:rRNA from 1 species